rnacentral:misc_RNA from 1 species
UAUCCGUUGGUGAACCAGCGGAGGGAUCAUUACAGGACUCGCAAGACUCCUACAACCCUGUGAACUUAACUAUAAGCACGUUGCUUCGGCGGGUGUCUCGGAGGGGGUUCUCCCUCCCCGAGACGCUAAACCCGCCGGCAGCCUACUAUACUCUGUCUCUUUGCGUUGGCAUCUCGAGUACAAUCAAACAAGUUAAAACUUUCAACAACGGAUCUCUUGGUUCUG